rnacentral:rRNA from 1 species
AUUGAACGCUGGCGGCAGGCCUAACACAUGCAAGUCGAGCGGAUGAAGGGAGCUUGCUCUUGGCUUCAGCGGCGGACGGGUGAGUAAUGCCUAGGAAUCUGCCUGGUAGUGGGGGAUAACGUCCGGAAACGGGCGCUAAUACCGCAUACGUCCUGAGGGAGAAAGUGGGGGAUCUUCGGACCUCACGCUAUCAGAUGAGCCUAGGUCGGAUUAGCUAGUUGGUGGGGUAAAGGCCUACCAAGGCGACGAUCCGUAACUGGUCUGAGAGGAUGAUCAGUCACACUGGAACUGAGACACGGUCCAGACUCCUACGGGAGGCAGCAGUGGGGAAUAUUGGACAAUGGGCGAAAGCCUGAUCCAGCCAUGCCGCGUGUGUGAAGAAGGUCUUCGGAUUGUAAAGCACUUUAAGUUGGGAGGAAGGGCAGUAAGUUAAUACCUUGCUGUUUUGACGUUACCAACAGAAUAAGCACCGGCUAACUUCGUG